UCGAUUUGCGUCAAAACCGUGGUGAAC
rnacentral:sRNA from 1 species